rnacentral:rRNA from 1 species
GAUGAACGCUAGCGGCAGGCUUAAUACAUGCAAGUCGUGGGGCAGCAUGAGUGUAGCAAUACAUUUGAUGGCGACCGGCAAACGGGUGCGGAACACGUACACAACCUUCCUUCAAGUGGGGAAUAGCCCAGGGAAACUUGGAUUAAUACCCCGUAAUAUUAUGGAGUGGCAUCACUUUAUAAUUAUAGCUCCGGCGCUUGAUGAUGGGUGUGCGCCUGAUUAGGUAGUUGGCGGGGUAACGGCCCACCAAGCCUUCGAUCAGUAACUGGUGUGAGAGCACGACCAGUCACACGGGCACUGAGACACGGGCCCGACUCCUACGGGAGGCAGCAGUAAGGAAUAUUGGUCAAUGGACGCAAGUCUGAACCAGCCAUGCCGCGUGAAGGAUGAAGGCCCU